rnacentral:rRNA from 1 species
ACAUGUCUUUUUGAGAAAAAUUUAAAGUCGGGCCUGCCCACUGAGAUAUUGAAGGGCCGCGGUAUUUUGACCGUGCAAAGGUAGCAUAAUCAUUAGUCUUUUAAUUGAAGGCUGGAAUGAAUGGUUUGACGAAGUAUUAACUGUCUUUUUAUAAAAAUGUGGAAUUUAACUUUUAAGUUAAAAGGCUUAAAUAAUAAUAAAGGACGAGAAGACCCUAUAGAGUUUUAUAUAAGUAAUGAAUAAAUUUAUUUGGAAGUUGAGAUUUUUAUUUAAAAUUUAUAUUGUGUUGGGGUGACAUAAAGAUAUAAGAAACUCUUUAUUAUUUAUACAUAAAUUUAUGGUUAAUUGAUCCAUUAUUAAUGAUUAUAAGAUAAAAUUACCUUAGGGAUAACAGCGUAAUUUUUCUAAAGAGUUCAUAUCGAAAGAAAAGUUUGCGACCUCGAUGUUGGAUUAAGAUAAUGGUUAGGUGUAGCAGCUUAAUUAAUAAGUCUGUUCGACUUUUAAAAUCUUAC